AUGCGACCUUUACUGUACCUCUGCCUACUGCUGCUGUCGUGCCUUCUUCUCUUGCAAGAAGCGCAUGCAGCGCGCCAUGGAGGGAUCUCACUGAGGUCUCAACGCAUGGCCCUCCUCCACUGGAAAGCUACACUUGCAAACCCACCGCUGCGCAUGAGCUCUUGGCAAGAAAACACCAGCCCAUGUAACUGGACGGGCAUCAUGUGCACGGCUGUUCGCCAUGGCCGUCGUAUGCCCUGGGUGGUGACCAAUAUCUCCCUGCCAGACGCUGGCAUCCGCGGACAGCUUGGUGAGCUCAACUUCUCGGCUCUUCCAUUCCUCGCAUAUAUCAACCUUCAAAACAACAGUCUCCAUGGUGCACUACCCACUAGUAUCACCUCCCUGUCAGCACUUUCAGCACUUGACCUUAGCUUCAACCAGCUCAAAGGGAAAAUUCCUAGUGAGAUUGGUGGCCUGCAAAGUCUCAGGGUGCUUGAGCUCUCAUCUAAUAGACUCACAGGACAUAUUCCUGCAUCUCUGGGCAACCUCACAAUGUUAAAUAUUCUUGCCAUUCACCAAACCAUGGUAUCAGGUCCCAUUCCUGAGGAGAUUGGAAGGCUUGUCAACCUACAAGGUCUGCAGCUAAGCAACAGCAGCUUAAGCGGCAUGAUACCAAAAACCCUUGGAAAUCUGACCCAACUAAAUGAUUUGUACCUGUUUGGUAAUCAACUUUCAGGGCCUAUACCCCAAGAACUAGGCAGGCUAGUCCAUUUGCAUGGUCUUGCGCUUAAUUCAAAUGAUUUGUCAGGUCCAAUUCCAAUCUCCAUAACCAAUCUCACUAAGAUGAACCAACUUUUUCUCUUUGAAAAUCAAAUCACAGGUCCAAUACCCCCAGAAAUAGGAAAUCUUAAGAUGCUAAACCAACUUAUGCUCUACCAAAAUCAAAUCAUAGGCUCAAUACCCCCUGAACUAGGCAACAUCACUAUGCUCAAUGUAAUUUCUCUCGAUACAAAUAAAAUCACAGGCCCAAUACCUUCAGAAUUGGGCUACUUACUGAAUCUCCAGAAUUUAGAGUUGUUCGACAACCAAAUAUCUGGCACUAUUCCUGGGAGCCUAGGAAAUAUUACCAAGCUGGUAGCACUAUCCCUCUAUGGAAAUCAGAUAACCGGCUCCAUCCCUGAAGAGAUUGGCAAUCUGAUGAACCUCGCAUAUUUAUACUUGAAUGAGAACCAAAUAUCAGGAUCAAUACCUAAAACUUUUGGGAAGUUGCACAACAUCCAAGAAAUGCGAAUCUUCAAUAACAAUUUAUCAGGUGAUCUUCCUCAAGAAUUUGGAUAUCUCAUAAACAUUGUUGUGCUUGAGCUAGCUAACAACUCACUUUCAGGACCUUUACCCGCAAAUAUAUGUUCAGGUGCCGGACUUCAAACUCUCAAUGUCGCAUAUAAUAUGUUCAAUGGCCCCAUUCCAAGUAGUUUAAAGACAUGUUCAAGUUUAGUUGAAAUUGACCUUGAGUCAAACCAACUGACAGGAGAUAUAUCUCAGCAUUUUGGUGUUUAUCCACAACUCACAGUGAUGAAUUUGGCAUCGAAUAGACUCUCUGGGCUGAUAUCAUCCAAUCUAGGUGCAUCUACUCAAUUAGUGGCACUACAUCUAGCACAAAAUAUGAUCACGGGUCCCAUACCUACAAUCCUUUCUAAAUUGUCCAACCUAGAAAAACUAAGACUUGACUCUAAUCAUCUCAGUGGUGAGAUUCCACCAGAAAUCUGCAGUUUAACUCAUCUAUAUAUACUAAACUUAUCAUUCAACCAAUUAUCCGGGCCCAUACCUACACAGAUAGAAAAGCUGAGCAGUCUAGGAUACCUUGAUAUAUCUGGGAACAUGUUAAGUGGAUCAAUACCUGAGGAACUAGGGGCCUGCAUAAGAAUACAGUCCUUGAAGAUCAACAACAACAACUUCAAUGGGAGUUUGCCCAGUGAGAUUGGAAAUUUAGCAGGCCUGCAGAUCAAGUUAGAUGUGAGCAAAAAUAACCUCAGUGGUGUGUUACCGCAGCAACUUGGGAAGUUGCUGAUGCUACAACUUCUGAAUUUAUCACAUAAUCAGUUCAGUGGCAGCAUUCCAUCCUCCUUUGCAAGCAUGGUGAGCCUUUCAAUGCUUGAUGUGUCCUACAACGACUUGGAUGGACCGGUCCCUUCAGCACGGCUACUCCAAAAUGCUUCAGCGAGUUGGUUUCUUCCCAAUAAAGGUCUGUGUGGUAACUUCUCUGGUCUGCCACCUUGUUAUUCAACCCCAGUAGCUGCUCACAAAAAGGGGAAGAUACUUGGUUUGCUUUUGCCAAUUGUUCUUGUGAUGGGUUUCGUCAUUGUUGCUGCAAUUGUUGUCAUAAUAAUACUUACUCGUAAGAAGAGAAAUCCACAAGAAAGUGUUACCUCUGAAGCAAGGGACCUAUUCUCUGUUUGGAAUUUUGACGGAAGACUAGUAUUUGACGAUAUUGUAAGGGUAACAGAAGACUUUGAUGAUAAGUACAACAUUGGAACCGGAGGAUACGGCAAAGUCUACAAGGCACAACUCCAAGAUGGGCAGUUGGUUGCUGUGAAGAAGCUUCAUCAGACCGAAGAAGAGUUGGAUGAUGAAAGAAGAUUUCGUAGUGAAAUGGAAAUCUUAACACAGAUCCGACAACGAAGCAUUGUCAGAAUGUAUGGAUUCUGCUCCCAUCCAGUGUAUAAAUUUCUCGUCUAUGACUACAUUCAACAGGGAAGCCUCCACAGAAUAUUGGAAAAUCAAGAGCUAGCAAAGGAAUUAGAUUGGAACAAGAGAAUUGCUCUUGCAACAGAUGUGGCUCAAGCAAUAUCUUAUUUGCACCACGAAUGA
rnacentral:rRNA from 1 species